AAUAGAUACCCGGGUAGUCCACGCCGUAAACGGUGGGCACUAGGUGUGGGCGACAUUCCCACGUCGUCCGUGCCGCAGCUAACGCAUUAAGUGCCCCGCCUGGGGAGUACGGCCGCAAGGCUAAAAACUCAAAGGAAUUGACGGGGGCCCGCACAAGCGGCGGAGCAUGUGGCUUAAUUCGACGCAACGCGAAGAACCUUACCAAGGCUUGACAUACACCGGAAACGUCCAGAGAUGGGCGCCCCCUUGUGGUCGGUGUACAGGUGGUGCAUGGCUGUCGUCAGCUCGUGUCGUGAGAUGUUGGGUUAAGUCCCGCAACGAGCGCAACCCUUGUCCCGUGUUGCCAGCAGGCCCUUGUGGUGCUGGGGACUCACGGGAGACCGCCGGGGUCAACUCGGAGGAAGGUGGGGACGACGUCAAGUCAUCAUGCCCCUUAUGUCUUGGGCUGCACACGUGCUACAAUGGCCGGUACAAUGAGCUGCGAUACCGCGAGGUGGAGCGAAUCUCAAAAAGCCGGUCUCAGUUCGGAUUGGGGU
rnacentral:rRNA from 1 species